UACGUAGGGUGCAAGCGUUUGUCCGGAAUUAUUGGGCGUAAAGAGCGUGUAGGCGGCCCGAUUAGUCCGCUGUGAAAGUCCAGGGCUCAACCCUGGAAUGCCGGUGGAUACUGUCGGGCUAGAGUCCGGAAGGGGCGAGUGGAAUUCCUGGUGUAGCGGUGAAAUGCGCAGAUAUCAGGAGGAACACCGAUGGCGAAGGCAGGUCUCUGGGCCAUAACUGACGCUGAGAAGCGAAAGCAUGGGGAGCGAACAGG
rnacentral:rRNA from 1 species